UUGCGUAAUCGAUUCCCAAAAAACAAUUUUUAUAAUUUUUUUUUUCAAAUUACCACAUGUGCAAUUGCGUGCAAUCCUUUAAGUUUUUCUGGUCUUUGGUCUGACCAUUAUUGAGAAACUGGAAACGUAGAUGAGAAACCAGGAAGAGGGAGGAAUCACGUGACAUUUAAAAGUGAGGACGAAGAUAUUUUUUUUCUGUUUGAAAAGAAACACGUCUAAGAGAAGACAACAACUUUUGUUUGAAAAGAGAUGUAUCUGCUCCAAAUACAAUACGGGACAGGCUUUAGAGAUCUUUAAUGAAAGCCAAAAUUUCAAGAAAACAUUCAACGUCAACAAAAUAUUUAUGUGUUUAUGGUAUAAGCGAAAACUGGAGUUGGAGCAUGUUUUGAAUAAACGUCAGCUACUUGUAUAACACUUUGGAAAACGUAAACGCUAUUUUUUUAAACGCUCUGUAGCUUUUACAAAUGAAAAUUUUGGUGCGAAAUUUGAUAAAUUGCUUAUAUACAGAUUUAAGACAAAGUAUAUAAAUCGAGGAGAAAUGAUAUUAUCGAAAUGAAAUUUUGCGCGCAAAGUGUAGUUUAGUAAAAAAUGUAUAAUGGACUCCCCCACCUUAAGGUGAAAUCGUAUAUUUCAGGAACCCAAUUCUAACAAAAUCUCUUGUCCCGAAGCAACAGACCAUAAAGCUAGAGCAGGGGCACAGCUAUACUGAUGCGAUAAAAGUCGUCAGAGUGGCCGUGCUACCGAAGAACUUCCCGAAAGAGUUUCUGUUUCCGGAUCAGCUGACUGAGAUCCAAAUGGCAAUAAUAUAUAAGGCGCUGGCCGAAAUUUGGUGCUGAUUGGUGUUACCAGGAGAAACAUUUAGGCCUGGUCUACUCAUCGUUGUCUGCAAAGACGACAGCACAGCUGAAUAGCUAGCAAAAGUGAUACCUAAUCUAGGCGGCUGGUCAGGCGUCCAGCUAACCACAAAAAGCGGCGAAGAAAUACCUCUUCGCACAAUGUGACAAUCCUUCUCCCUAGGAGAGCGAAUAAGAGGCAAACAUACGCGUUGGGGUUGUUGCUAGUCCAAAACGAAGGUUUAUAAACCAGCCACUAGAAGGUGCUGGAAGAAAAGAACGAAGGAACCUGUCUGAAGCUGAACCUGUGUGUGGACGACGACUCGUGUAUUAACAUGACCAAGAACCAUAUACUCGCCAAAUCACAGAAUAAUAGAAUUUCGUUUAGGGCUAUCAAUAGACAUAAAUGAAGCCAUAAAAAAAUCCUUGGAAAACCGACUGGGCAAAAUACAAAAAGUUAUUAGACAUAAAUCUAAACAGAAAUAUACCAGCAAACAAAGCAAAAACUUUUCCAAGAACUAGAGCAGAAGCCAAAGAAAACGAAAGGCGCUCCAUGGUGGAACACACAACUAGUUAAGAAAAUGAAAGAAGUCAGGAAAUACUUUAAUAAGCCGAAAAGAAACGGUAACUGAGAGGAAACUAAAUCCAAUCUGAGCAGCUACAAUAAAGAAAUGAGAGAAGCCAGUCGACUAAACUUCAGGAGCUUCUGGGAAAGCAUUUCAUCGAUACCAGAAGCAGCUAGAUUACAUAGGGCACUAGCAAAAGAUACAAAAGAAAGUAAAAUGGCAUUAAAGCAAAGAGACAACGAAUAUACAAGGUAUGAAAGAACAAUAAUUCUGCUCAAGACAGAUUUUCCAGGAUCCACAACAAGUAUCCUAAAUAAUCACAGGGAGGAUACAGUCCCAACAACCAAUACAUGGUCGCUAGGUAAAAAGAUAUUUAGCUACAGAUCAGUAUAUUGGGCAAUAAGCACCUUUGGGAAAUACAAAUCAUCAGGAAUAGAUGGAAUAUGGCCAAAACUCUUACAGAAUGGUGAACUACAACUACAAUAAUAUCAAUGCUGGUGCACAUCAUGAGAGAAAGCAUGGUUUUAGCUUGCAUUAAUACGGCAUAGAGAAUAAUCCUAGUCAAGUUCAUCCCCAAACCAGGCAAAACGAACGCUUAACAUCCUUCAACCUAAAGGCUAUGGAGAAGAUUAUUGACAAUCACAUAAGAACAACCGCCCUAAGGGAAAUAUUUCUACACCCCGCACAGCAUGCAUAUAGAGAAGGCAACUAAUACAGCGUUACUCCAACUUUCAGACAUUUUAAGAUAUGCUAUAAAUAACAAAGAGAUACCACUAUGCGUUUUCCUAGAUACGGAAGGAGCAUUUAACAGCCUUAUGCCUCAUGCCUAAACAUAGGUUAGCGAAAACGGUAACGGACAAUGAAACCAUUCAAAUAGGAACCACAAGAGCAUGCCCUCAAGAGGGUGUACUAUCCUCACUCCUAUGGAUCUAAGUAAAAGACGCUCUACUAGACAGUCUGACAAAGAACGACAUAAGAUGAUAAGGCUAUGCAGAUGACAUCGUACAAAAAGCAGUAGAGAAAUUUUAAAACACAGUGUGUGACAUUAUAUAAAGAGCGCUCACACUAACAGAGAAAUGGUGCUCGGAAGCAAGACUAAGCAUCAAUCUAACUAAGACUGCUAUAGUGCGAUUUACUAGGAGACAUAAAAUACACAUGAAAUAUAUGCGAGUAAAUAAUAUAAUAAUAGAACCCAUUCUCGAAACGAAAUACCUAGGUAUAUCUUUCGACUCCAGAAUAACAUGGAAAAGUCACAUGGACCAGGCGAUCAGUAAAGCGACAAGGUCACUGGUAGUAUGUCGAAAAAUAGCUGGAAAGACCUGGAUAAUACAUUGGAUGUAUACUACGAUAGUAAAACCGGUAAUCACAUAUGAAGCAAUUGCCUGGUCAGAAAGAGUAGAACUAAACACAACCAGAAAGGAACCAGGGAAACUCCAAAGACUGACGUACGCCUGUAUAACAAACUGCAUGAAAACAUGACCCACAGUGGCACUAGAAGCCCUACUUGACCUCACUCCCCUCCACAAUAUAGAGCUUUCGCCAAAGAAAAUCCUAUUAACAAUAACGAAUAAGGUGCAGGAAAAGGAAAGAUUGUUACAUCCAAAAACGCAGCAGAAAUACGGGAAUACGAUUCCCCUAUCAAGCUUUAACAGGGACGAAAUAUCGAAGACCAUACAUUUUAACUUCAAAUUCAGCAUAGCUCUAGGAGAUAAGAGAUCGUGGAGGCAACCACAGAUAAAGGAAGAAAUAAAACCACACUCACAGGACACUGCAGACUGCACAUGCUAUUGGAAUGCGAUACGGUGACCAGAAGAAGGCUUGCGCAUUUAGGAUGUACGCAGCUGAAGCAACAUCAUAUUAAUACCAUCAACUCCUCAAGUAUCCUUUAGUUUAUAAGAGCAUAGAUGAAACAAUAUGAGAAGGUUAGGGUACAAUAGAUUAUUUUCGCGUUUGAGAUCGGUUCCAAAUUGCAAACAAUUUAUAUGAAUAGUGUUUUAUAAAACUCUGAAUUCAUUAACUUGACUCAACUAAUAGUUACUAUUGAUAGUUGUAUUGUAUGUGGAUGUACUUUUCUAUACAUUCAUUCAAAGUAUGUUAGUUUUUUGUGAUAUGACUUUAAUGUUGUUCCAAGUUAGUCAGAAAAAAAGAAUAAUUUGACUAAAAUUACUAGUUGAAAUAAAAAAAAAAC